rnacentral:rRNA from 1 species
GAUGAACGCUGGCGGCGUGCCUAAUACAUGCAAGUCGAGCGAACAGACGAGGAGCUUGCUCCUCUGACGUUAGCGGCGGACGGGUGAGUAACACGUGGAUAACCUACCUAUAAGACUGGGAUAACUUCGGGAAACCGGAGCUAAUACCGGAUAAUAUAUUGAACCGCAUGGUUCAAUAGUGAAAGACGGUUUUGCUGUCACUUAUAGAUGGAUCCGCGCCGCAUUAGCUAGUUGGUAAGGUAACGGCUUACCAAGGCAACGAUGCGUAGCCGACCUGAGAGGGUGAUCGGCCACACUGGAACUGAGACACGGUCCAGACUCCUGCGGGAGGCAGCAGUAGGGAAUCUUCCGCAAUGGGCGAAAGCCUGACGGAGCAACGCCGCGUGAGUGAUGAAGGUCUGCGGAUCGUAAAACUCUGUUAUUAGGGAAGAACAAAUGUGUAAGUAACUAUGCACGUCUUGACGGUACCUAAUCAGAAAGCCACGGCUAACUACGUG